GAUGAACGCUGGCGGCGUGCCUAAUACAUGCAAGUCGAGCGAACAGACGAGGAGCUUGCUCCUCUGACGUUAGCGGCGGACGGGUGAGUCACACGUGGAUAACCUACCUAUAAGACUGGGAUAACUUCGGGAAACCGGAGCUAAUACCGGAUAAUAUAUUGAACCGCAUGGUUCAAUAGUGAAAGACGGUUUUUGUGUCACUUAUAGAUGGAUCCGCGCCGCAUUAGCUAGUUGGUAAGGUAACGGCUUACCAAGGCAACGAUGCGUAGCCGACCUGAGAGGGUGAUCGGCCACACUGGAAGUGAGACACGGUCCAGACUCCUACGGGAGGCAGCAGUAGGGAAUCUUCCGCAAUGGGCGAAAGCCUGACGGAGCAACGCCGCGUGAGUGAUGAAGGUCUUCGGAUCGUAAAACUCUGUUAUUAGGGAAGAACAAAUGUGUAAGUAACUAUGCACGUCUUGACGGUACCUAAUCAGAAAGCCACGGCUAACUACGUG
rnacentral:rRNA from 1 species